AGUGAACGCUGGCGGUAGGCCUAACACAUGCAAGUCGGACGGCAGCACAGUAAGAGCUUGCUCUUACGGGUGGCGAGUGGCGGACGGGUGAGGAAUACAUCGGAAUCUACUUUUUCGUGGGGGAUAACGUAGGGAAACUUACGCUAAUACCGCAUACGACCUACGGGUGAAAGCAGGGGAUCUUCGGACCUUGCGCGAUUGAAUGAGCCGAUGUCGGAUUAGCUAGUUGGCGGGGUAAAGGCCCACCAAGGCGACGAUCCGUAGCUGGUCUGAGAGGAUGAUCAGCCACACUGGAACUGAGACACGGUCCAGACUCCUACGGGAGGCAGCAGUGGGGAAUAUUGGACAAUGGGCGCAAGCCUGACCCAGCCAUACCGCGUGGGUGAAGAAGGCCUUCGGGUUGUAAAGCCCUUUUGUUGGGAAAGAAAAGCAGCAGGUUAAUACCCCGCUGUUCUGACGGUACCCAAAGAAUAAGCACCGGCUAACUUCGUG
rnacentral:rRNA from 1 species